rnacentral:rRNA from 1 species
UACACAUGCAAGUCGAACGGUAACAGGUCUUCGGAUGCUGACGAGUGGCGAACGGGUGAGUAAUACAUCGGAACGUGCCCGAUCGUGGGGGAUAACGAAGCGAAAGCUUUGCUAAUACCGCAUAAGAUCUACGGAUGAAAGCAGGGGACCGCAAGGCCUUGCGCGAACGGAGUGGCCGAUGGCAGAUUAGGUAGUUGGUGGGAUAAAAGCUUACCAAGCCGACGAUCUGUAGCUGGUCUGAGAGGACGACCAGCCACACUGGGACUGAGACACGGCCCAGACUCCUACGGGAGGCAGCAGUGGGGAAUUUUGGACAAUGGGCGAAAGCCUGAUCCAGCCAUGCCGCGUGCAGGAUGAAGGCCUUCGGGUUGUAAACUGCUUUUGUACGGAACGAAAAGACUCUGGUUAAUACCUGGGGUCCAUGACGGUACCGUAAGAAUAAGCACCGGCUAACUACGUGCCAGCAGCCGCGGUAGUACGUAGGGUGCAAGCGUUAAUCGGAAUUACUGGGCGUAAAGCGUGCGCAGGCGGUUAUAUAAGACAGAUGUGAAUCCCCGGGCUCAACCUGGGAACUGCAUUUGUGACUGUAUAGCUAGAGUACGGCAGAGGGGGAUGGAAUUCCGCGUGUAGCAGUGAAAUGCGUAGAUAUGCGGAGGAACACCGAUGGCGAAGGCA